CACGUAGGGGGCAAGCGUUGUCCGGAUUCAUUGGGCGUAAAGGGCGCGUAGGUGGCCAACUAAGUCAGACGUGAAAUCCCUCGGCUUAACCGGGGAACUGCGUCUGAUACUGGAUGGCUUGAGUUUGGGAGAGGGACGCGGAAUUCCAGGUGUAGCGGUGAAAUGCGUAGAUAUCUGGAGGAACACCGGUGGCGAAGGCGGCGUCCUGGACCAAUACUGACACUGAAACGCGAAAGCCAGGGGAGCAAACGGG
rnacentral:rRNA from 1 species